AGUACGAUCGCAAGAUUAAAACUCAAAGGAAUUGACGGGGCCCCGCACAAGCAGCGGAGCAUGCGGCUUAAUUCGACGCAACGCGAAGAACCUUACCAAGGCUUGACAUAUAGGGAAAAGUGGCAGAGAUGUCAUGUCCGCAAGGGCCCUAUACAGGUGGUGCAUGGUUGUCGUCAGCUCGUGUCGUGAGAUGUUGGGUUAAGUCCCGCAACGAGCGCAACCCUCGUUCUGUGUUGCCAGCAUUUAGUUGGGGACUCACAGGAGACUGCCGGGGUUAACUCGGAGGAAGGUGGGGAUGACGUCAAAUCAUCAUGCCCCUUAUGUCUUGGGCUGCACGCAUGCUACAAUGGCCGGUACAGAGGGCUGCAAUACCGUAAGGUGGAGCGAAUCCCAAAAAGCCGGUCUCAGUUCGGAUUGAGGUCUGCAACUCGACCUCAUGAAGUUGGAGUUGCUAGUAAUCGUAGAUCAGCAUCGCUACGGUGAAUACGUUCCCGGGGCUUGUACACACCGCCCGUCACGUCACGAAAGUCGGUAACACCCAAAGUCAGUGGCCCAACCGCAAGGGGGGAGCUGCCUAAGGUGGGAUCGGUGAUUGGGACG
rnacentral:rRNA from 1 species